UAAGAGAGGAAGAGAGGAGGAUAGAGAGGGAGAGAAGGAGAUGGAGCUGGAUGGAGUCAGCACACAGAGAGAGAGCAAGAACCGGAUGAGAAAGUGGACAGGAAUUGGAGAAAAUGGAGAGAUGGGAGGAGAAGAAGAAAACAGGAAAUGAAGAUGAAGAAGACGUGCAUUUUGAAUUGUUGGUUUGCUUUUUUCACCAAAAACGAGUUAUUUUGAAUGAAGUAAUGUAUUUGAUUUCAGCAGGAUAGGUGCAUCUCAUGGACAGAACUAGAUCACUCAACACAGCUUCUAUCAUCAUCUCAUCAUUGUCAUCCUCAUGAAAAAUAAAACACAGUUUCAAGCUCGAAAACAAGACGUGGCGUGUUGGU